GUACAUAAGCAAACCGCCAAUGUUCUCAAACAUCUUCACCAUCAUAAUCUCAUUUUCAUCAUCACACUGAACAUCACCAUCACUUCAUAGUAGAAAAAAAACACCCCCAAGAAACACAUAAACCGCCCUUAUAUCACACAUAUCUCUUCAUCUCUGGACUAUUACUUUUCACCUUUAACACUUUGUUUCUUUUUACAGAACAACAUCAACCUCAUAACACAUUAAAACCUCCCACCACAAAACAUCACUCUUCUUCACA
rnacentral:lncRNA from 1 species